rnacentral:tRNA from 1 species
CUGGCGCAGGCCGUGGAAGGUGGCGAGUUGCUCGGACCGGCUCUCGCCGGUGUAGAGGGCGAUGUCGUCGCCGAUCGCGUUGGCCGGCCAGA